rnacentral:pre_miRNA from 14 species
AUACAGGCCAAAUUGAAAGACCCCCAGAGUGGAGAGACCCUCACUCAAGUCUCAGGAUGACGCGACACCCCAAGGACUCACACAAGACC